rnacentral:tRNA from 1 species
AUGAGUAUAGUAUAUAUUUAUUACGUAAAGUUGCAAACUUUAAAAAACAAUAAGUUACCCAUU